AAAGCUAGCCCUACCAUACCACAAUUUACUCCCCCCACCUUAAUAGACUAAAACAUUUAGACCCAUAAAAGUAUAGGAGAUAGAAAUUUUACUGAGGAGCUAUAGCGCACAGUACCGUAAGGGAAAGAUGAAAGAUAAAUUUAUAGUGAAAAACAGCAAAGAUUAGCCCUUCUACCUUUAGCAUAAUGAAUUAACUAGAAUAAGCUUGGCAAAAUGAAUUACAGUCAACUUUCCCGAAACCAGACGAGCUACUUAAAGUCAAUCUCCCCAAGGAUCAACUCAUCUAUGUAGCAAAAUAGUGAGAAGAACAUUAAGUAGAGGUGAAAAGCCAACCGAGCCUGGUGAUAGCUGGUUAUCCAAAAUAGAAUCUAAGUUCAACCUAAAAUUUACUAUAAGAACUUUAACUAAUCCCUCCACGUAAGUUUUAGAUAUAAUCAAAAGAGGUACAGCUCUUUUGACACAGGAUUCAACCUUAAUUAGAGAGUAAGAACUUAUCCAUACCAUAGUAGGCCUAAAAGCAGCCAUCAAUUAAGAAAGCGUUAUAGCUCAACAUUAAACUACAACAAAUCCCAUACAAACAUAACCAACUCCUAAAAAAUUAUUGGAUUACUCUAUAAGUAUAUAGAAGAAAUAAUGUUAAUAUAAGUAACAAGAAUAUAUUCUCCAUGCACAAACUUAUAUCAGAUCGGAUAUACCACUGGUAGUUAACAACUAUAUAAAUAAAAAUACUACUAAACCACUUAUAAAUAUUACUGUUAACCCAACACAGGAGUGCAUCUCAGGAAAGAUUAAAAAAAGCAAAAGGAACUCGGCAAA
rnacentral:rRNA from 1 species